AGGAGGCAGCUAAUCAGGGCGGGACUUGUAGACCUGGUUGAAGUCCAGGGCCCAGGAACGCUAGGGAAACCGAAAGCAGCCUCUGGGUUGGGCCUGCGGUGGGGCGGGGCUGGGGGUGUGGCCGCGCCCUGAACCUGGAGCAAGGCCAGUACAUAAAGAUUCCUGGGAACCGAAAGAGCAAGACAGGGAAGUAGCUUUGGUUGGGUUUCGUGGUACACAAAGCACAAGGCCUGGGUUGGGUUCCGAGGAAAUGAGACUUGCGGCGGGGCGGGGCUGAAGGUGUAGCAGCGCCCUGAACCUGGAGCAAGGCUGGUACAUAAACGCCUAUGUCACAAUCUGGAGUCAUCUGGAGUGUCCCAGCAGGUGAGGAAGAGCUGGGGCGCUCAGUUGAGUGCUGAGAGCCAAAGAAGCAAUAAACAGAAUCCCUUUGGUCAAGGAGAGGGAGAGAGAGGUAAGGGUCUGGUCUUCAUUUUUAAGCAGGAAGACGACUACAAACCACCAUCUGCCAUCUGCCAGGUGACACAUCUUUUUGGAAUAUUAUGAUCCUCGUGGAGACUGCAUAGUACCAUGGAGCAAACCUUACGGUUGAAGAUAGUAGACCUGUAGUUCAUACACCAAAGAAUUAAUGAAUCACGCAUGCCUACUGGAACAAAGGGAUCCAGAUAUGCAUACUUAGAAGCUGACAUUUUGGCUGGGUGCAGUGGCUCACGCCUGUAAUCCCAGCACUUUGGGAAGCUGAGGCAGGCGGAUCAUGAGGUCAGGAGAUCGAGACCAUCCUGCCUAACACGAUGCCUGAAGAAGGAGAGAGGACUGGGACUGUGGGUGAGAGUCCUGUUUGGGAUUUGUUUAUCCAGGAGCUUUUUAUACUUGUUGAAAACCCCACCCAGGGGUUGUCAUCCUGAGUGAAAGGAGGAUAUCCUCUGCCACCAUAUCAGCUGAGAAUGUCCAUGAGUGUGAGUGCUGCCUUUGAGAAGACUUCUUCUCUGCCCAGCUGGCCCCUGCAGACUGCCUCCAGCCCUAAAGGGAGCAUGAACUGCCUCAUCUGCCCAAGUCAGAAGGGAAGUGGGGAAGCAGGGAGAAAGCACAUGGUUUCUUUUUGCUGGGGCCUUAAGUCCAUGGGGGAGUUUCCCAUUUUUCCUUUUUCGUCUGCCCUGUCCAUACUCCUCUUCCUCAGAACUGAACGUGUUUUAAAUAGAAUCCCCCAACCUGAGAUCUGUCUGAUAAGGACCAAGGUCCAGCAUUUUUACUCUGGCUCAAAUUCUGAUGCCAUCUAAUGAUUUGCUUACAGACUAAAUUUUCCCCCUAUUUUUGACUCCCCCACACCUGUUUGUGCUUCCAUUAGAGACAAAGGAUUUCAAAACAUUUCUGUGAAAUAAACUGAAAUUGAAACAUGGCUUCCCUCUUCUCUUCCCCUCCCUUUGUAUGUUUCACUGGCUGGCUCUGAGUGUCCAGGUAACUGGGGAAGGAGAAAGUCACUGUUCCCUCAAAUGUUCCAGCCCAGAAGUAGCAGCUUUGCCAUAUGCUGGAUGACCACGGAGGGCUUUGUCUCAGGACAGGGUGGGGCCCAAAGUGUUUAUUCUACACCAGCAGCUAGCAGACUCAAGGGAAAAGUGCAAUGCUGAGAAGUGGGAACAUUUUGCUGAUUAUGCUGAGAAAGGCAGAAAUAUGUGUUUGUGGGGAGGCGGCCGGGCCACUCACCUUCCAGGAAACAAAAUGUGCUAUGAAGCAGGAAGCACACACAGCAUCCUGUACUUUCAUGUGGCUGGACGCAUCUCUGUACGCUUAUCCCAAGUGCUGCCUCUCUAACCUCACCACACCAAUCACAGCAACAUUGCAGAAAAGGAAAAGGAGGCCAAGGGCUUGGCUCAAAGUCACCACAGCAGUUAGUGGGGGUCAAAGAUUGCAAUGAGCAUUUCUCUUCUUCCCGCUCCAGAUGAUUGGACUUAACAAGGCCAAGGAAAGCUUAAGUGGGUCGUGAUCCUUGACUUUCCUUAAACCUCAGCAGGGUGGGAAUGGGUAAGAGGAGGAGAAGCAUAGAGUGUGAGCUUCUAUCACCCACUGCCUGCCUACCCAGGGACUGUAAGGUCUAGGUGGUGAGAUGAACUCAAAACUGAAGCAAUGAAACACUUUUAGGAAGGCUGCCUGAGAAGAAAUCUACUGACUUGGAAGUUAUGUUCAAGGGAUCAUACAGGAAAGUCAUGGGCUCCUCAACCAUCUCCAGAGACCUAAAUAAAAAGCAAAUUUAAUAAAAAUAAGGGACUGAUCACUGGAAUACUCAAGCAGAGUAAGACUGAGUGUUAAAGGAACCCUCCAAAUGAUAUUAAUGUUGACCUGGAUUACAUCCAGAAUGAGUUCUGGGUCCAGAAUUGCCUAGGACCGGAUCCUCAGGGAAGGGAUCUAUUAGCAUCAAUGUCAUCAAUGGUGAGUGACUCUGAUCUCCCAGGCUUCAGGGUCCCUUGCAGAGAUGACUGAGAGCCAAGUGCACAAAGCACAGAUGAAGCUGCUGCAGGCUGGGACCCCGGGAGCUACUGGAAUGUCCAUUCCCUGCAGCCUGCCUAUACUGAGGUUUAAUCUAGAUAACGUUUGACAAAAGGUGACAUUAAGGAGAAGAAUGUAAUUUACCCCUCUAGGAGUCUGUCUGUCUACCUAAUCUGUACAGCUGCUCCCCCACCAGCCACUCCCAUUUUUCCAAGACCAAGGGCUGCCAGUGGGAACCACAUUGCUCUGCAUUUAGUUUCCAGACCACUGCCUACCCUCCCUUCCUCAAAAGGCCCUUGCCUGGAAGGUGCUAUCCCGUCAUGCUUGUUUUCCCUUCUGGCAGGUGUCACUGGCCUUGUGGUUCACUAAGGACAUUGGCUCCUAGGUCACACUAUCCUCCCCAACAUCUGCCCUCCAGCCUGGCUAACCCCAGAUCUCACCUCUUAAGCCUCUUCCUCUAGCUCUGGCCAGCAACUCCAGGUCAUAGCCUUGACUUUGCCUUUUCCUGAGACUGCUCCACCUCUUAAUUUCCAAAGCACUCCUGUCUGGCUCAAUACACCUCCCCUGCCCAGCCCCUCACCAUGCUGGAGUUUCUACCUUGUCAAGACCUCUAAUUUCCUAAUCCCUCCCUAGUCACCUCCGGUUUUCAGUUUCCAUCUUGGUCAGAUUAAUCCUCAGACCACACAUUUCAUCACUACAAUUUCUCCUGUGCAUAUCAUCUGAAUUGCCCCAUCUUUCUCUCACCUCCUAUAC